rnacentral:RNase_P_RNA from 3 species
GGGAGUAGGAGGACCGCUGACAGAGUUCGACUCUGAGGAAAGUCCCCUCUCCACAGUGCAGGCGGCUACCAGAAGGAAGCAAACAGAAAUGGUUGGGUUCAAGGCUGCAGAAACGAACGAUGCAAGGUGUGUACAAUGACGUUGAAAGACCGAGGUUGCCUUGUGGUCGAUGAGACGAGCCACCCCGCCGGAGCAAGUCCAAACCGUCCCGUUGACUCGGCACGACGAGGGACAGGUAGGAUGCACAGUUGAAUGCGGUCACCGAAAGGGAACAGAAAGGGGCUUACUCCCUACUCCC